rnacentral:rRNA from 1 species
CUGGGUUCAGAACGUCGUGAGACAGUUCGGUCCCUAUCCGUCGUGGGCGUAGGAAAUUUGAGAGGAGCUGUCCUUAGUACGAGAGGACCGGGAUGGACAUACCUCUGGUGUACCAGUUGUCGUGCCAACGGCAUAGCUGGGUAGCUAUGUGUGGACGGGAUAAGUGCUGAAAGCAUCUAAGCAUGAAGCCCCCCUCAAGAUGAGAUUUCCCAACUUCGGUUAUAAGAUCCCUCAAAGAUGAUGAGGUUAAUAGGUUCGAGGUGGAAGCAUGGUGACAUGUGGAGCUGACGAAUACUAAUCGAUCGAAGACUUAAUCAAAA